UGUUUGCAAUAGCGGUUCCCAAAAUGCAUAAAGACAUUAGAACACCUUUCAUAUAAUCACUAGUUACAUUGGUCAGCUGCUAUAUAAAUAAGAAACUUCUUGCCUCUGCAAAUUUUCUUAGCUAAACAAACAUACAUACAUGUACAUUUGUGUGUCUAUGAGUGUGUAUGUAGGAUAUGCGGAAAAGUUGCGCACGAGUCGCCGUACAGUAUAAUACCCAGCAAAGACCCUCACUAUAUGACUAAUCUUAGGACUGCUUACUGUGGCCUUUUUUAAGAGUAUCAAAGAGAACGCUAUUUAUGGGUUGUUUAUGCAUAUAUACAUCCAUAUAUAGUAUUCUAAGUCAGUCAAGAAAUGGGCCCAGUUCCAUUGUGGCUCUCUGCUCUUCAACGAAGACGAUGCGCCGUAUGCAAUAUCGUACGUGCGUGGUUGAAGCUGCUGUUGUGAGUGCGAGCGUGUGAGGGAGCGUCGGCCUUCAGUAUCUGUCGACGUUUGGUCCCUGAUUGCCUGCCUGCCCCCCGCCCGGUUGGUUGGUUGUGGAUGACGGCGAUGUCGUUGCUGCCGCUGGGGGUAGCGAUGCUCAAUUAGUCGAACGCUUCAUCGGUCCGGCUGGUAGUCGUUGAAAGAUAUCGUUGUAGUUGAAAUGAAACUGAUGUGCUUAGGCCCUUGCCGUUGUUGUUUGUAUCCCAGCCUCCGCCGCCAUCGCUGAGCUGAACGACGACGACGACAACGACGGCGAUAAUGAUGACGAUGAUCAGAGUAAUAGCGAUUUCGCCCGUUCGUUCUUGCUGCUUUUGAAGUGGUGAUGACGAUGUCGGCAGCAGCUACUGCUUCUGCAUCGUCGAAGGCGAUGGCGCGUGUGAUCAGCGUUGUGGCAGAAAUAGUCGUAAUAGUGGUGCUGGUAGUAUGGCGGUGACUAAUGGGGAAGAAUAAGAUGAUACCGCAGCGGAUAGCAGAGGCUGUGUGUGCGUGCACGGCGUGUGAUACAGCAGGGAGCAAGGGGCCACGACCUGCUCGCCUUCGAGCGUGCGGUGGCACUGGCGACGGAACAAUAAUAACAACCAUUGCGUGUAUACUGUAUAACAUUCUAGUAUCUGGGCGUCAGCAUAUGUCUCUGUGCGUGUAAAUAUGUAGGGACUAUACCGUUUUUAGCAUUGUCGUUGUGGCUGGAUAUGCCUGUCUCAGCUUGCCCACCACCUACUACUGAUAGUCACGCAUAUACGCACACCUAUAGAGACGUGCUUCAUUGAGUCGAUAUGUGAUGCUAGUACUAUUUAUGUUAUUUGCGGUGCUAAUGAGACAGUGGGGGAGCUAGGGAACCGCUAGCUGCUGGUAAAAACAGCUGCUAUUACCGCUGUCGUCGUCGUCGUCGUCGGAGGAGCGUGACACGUGAAUAGCAGAGCGGACACCCAAUUUCCACUUUGACCGGCGUAGAAUGUAUGACCCUUCGGAACAGAAUCGAAGCAAGGAAAACAGACGGAGGAGAAGCGAAAGACGAACGAACACGACGAGAAAAAGCGCACUCACAUUCAACUGUACCAUUUCCUCCCUCCUCCGCGCUAGCCCGUCCCCCAUCAUCAACAAUAACAACACCACCGUCACAUCUAACAUGUGGCGCAGAAGCACCGAAGACAACAUCAAUAUUCAUAUCAAUUGGCAAUCAGUGUCAGAUCAUGCGCGCCUGCAACUCUAUGCGGUUCUCUGAGAACCAACGGCGGAAGGCCUAUCUACCGUUAGGCUCUCCCAAAGCAGCAGCAGUGGCAACAAUAACCACGGCGGUUAUUCACAUAAUGAUAAUAACGCUUCAAUAAAAAAAAAAAAAUAAUAAUAUAUCGAUAUUAAGUGAAAUCACUAUACGCCAUACAGUGCCUUCACGCUCUUCGCGGCAGGUCGAUACUGCUCUGUGUCGAUAACUACACCGGUAAUUAUUGUAUUUUUUUUUUUAUCAAGUUUCAUUUUAGUCUUAACGUUUAUAAUAAUGUGAUGAGGAAUUAUUUCGCUUUUGCUGACGGGCCUGCACUUCGUAAGGUCCAACGCCUAAUGAUAUGAGGAUGCAUUGCGGUACUAUCGUGUAUUAUAUGGUGAGCUAUCUUACCAAUGUUUAUUUACAAGUACAAGACGGCAUUGUUUGCUCUAGCCAUUAGCUGCUAUUUUAGGACGCUGCUGGGAUUCAACAUGUGGAUCUUUCUCUAAGCAUCAUCUUUGACAAUGCGUUUACCACCACGGAACAUACAGCAUGAAGGGACGCAGACAAUCCACAAGUGCCGGACCAGACAGUCGACCCGUUGCAGGAAAUGAUCGGCAACAACUGAGCACUCAACAACAAUCGCAGCAGUUCCCCCCUGAGGUAAUAAUAAUAAUAAUAAUAAUGGACCAGAGUGUGGAUUGUAUCCAUACCGUCACAAGUAAUGGCUGAUAGCUACUUCCGCUCCGCUAAGACGGGAUGAUUAUUUUUCAAAUCAACUAGAUCACUAAAUACAUAGAAAAUACUCUAGUUUAAUUGACAGCGAUACAUGUACUACAUUUAGACAAAGUUGUCGUAUUUAACGCAACAUACUCUAUGCUAUAUAUAAGAAGUAUGUGAUUUAUUAGUGCCAAUUAACUAGUUUAUACGCACGUUGAAAGCACUAUUGUACGCUACUGAAACAAAGGCAAGUCUUCAAAUACACGCGAAGAUAUCGCGAUAGCCUUUGUAAUGGAAAUGACACUACGAGCUGAAUGGCCGCAUUUCACUAUUGAGUUCCUUCCAUUUUUAUUAACAGAACAGGCAUUAUAGCUCAUUCACGCUUUAGAUGAAUCGCUAUAUAUAUAUAUAAUUAAUAAAGCUCUUUUUUUGUUUGUGUGUGUGUCAACGUGAUAUCGAAUGCGAUAAUUGUUAUGCACAUGAUGAUUUACUCGCCUUUACGACAGCCAACCUAUCAUGACCGGUGGGUCGGCCGUACGUCGGCCUGUCUAAGCGUUCUUAUGACGCCAGCGUUAGUCGUCUGAUUGCUGCUGCUGCUGCUGCUGCUGAUGUGGUUCAUAGGCCAGAAACGAUUUUUUGCGUUCGCCAAAUUUGGCACGGCAACUCUGCGAAGCCGACAUCAGCUCCGCGACGUUCAUCGUUCGCGGUGGUUCUUGCUUUUUUUUUCUUCUUCUUCUUCUUCGCAUCAAUACGAUUCUUUCCCAUUAUUGGCAUUACUCAGGCUGAUAUUGCCAUCCAGCUAUAUCUACGAAUUGUAGAGCGUGAAUAACGUUGCACGAACAGUGUCGUUGUUUGUUAUAGUAAUAUGGAAGCGGUAACAGCGGUCGCAACAAGUAGAAGUAAUAGUAAGCGUACUAGCAGUAGUUGUCCGAAUGGCAAUGGUCAUGGUUGGAGAGGCGGUAGCCAUCAUAACAUGCCGAUGUAAUACAAAGAAUGAUCCAUUCCUUCGUUUCCAGAUCUGCCAUUCGAUGGUGCCCAUUAUGGGUGUGUGCGUAUAGUUAGAACGCUGCACGUCGCUUGCUGCCACGCCAUGAACGCCGAUGGCGCUACCGAAGCCGCCAUAUAUCUGUACGAGUGAUAGUUGUACAGGAUGUUACGUGCCCCGUCGCAAGACCCCGAUAUGGCCAACAAUAAUAAUAACAACAACGACCCCCGCUACAAUGUUAUUAGUUCCAAUGAUAGCAGUAGCGGCAGGCCGCCGGGAAACACCGUUGAAUACAAAUGUAGCUAAAGUUCCAAGUUGUA